AGCUGGGUGGCCCUGGGCUGGUUGUUGCUUCUCUCCAGGACAUAUAUGGCUCGGAGUAGGCCAGGGUCCUGGGUUUGCUGCUGUGGGAUCGGUUCACUCCCUCUCCUACCCAGAGGUGCCCGCUUGGGAGCUGUGGACUUUGGGGGCAGGAACACCCGCUCCCAGCACCUUCACAGUCAUCCCCUUUUUCUUCUGGGUCUCAAACUUGCUGCCUGUCCUGCACCCUGGCCUGUCCUCUGGAGGUUAUCUGAUGAGGGCCUACUUUGAGGCAUCUUCCCCUGGAUCUUACCUCACCCCUCCAGCUCCCACUUCACCAUGAUCCCAUGGAGACAUGAGUCCCAGGAGAGCUCUUUCUCUGGUCCCUCUCCUAGCAAGAAGUACCUGUGGGCACACCUGGAGCAUAGGCCUUGAUGUUUGCAGUGCUCUGGGCAAAAGGACAAAUGGAGGUCCACAGACCAGAAUCUAAAUAUUAAAUAACCAUAAAUCAAGCUGCUAAUAAAAUGUGUUCUAUCCUCCUACUGAACAAAUAAACUUUCAUAGCAGUAAAAACAUCCAUAAAUCUAUGGUUUUUUUAAUGUCUGAAAGUCAGCAUAUACCCAAAAUGAUGAAAUGUAAUGAUUAUCACUUAUGUCCAGGUGUUCAGUGACCUGAGGUUUAAGUGAGAAUAGAGGCUUGCCUGGUUCCUGAGGUAUUCUGUAUUUAUUCUGUAACAUCAAUUCUCCUUGUCUUUGUCCUAGUAAAAUGAUUAUGUUGUUGCAGUUAAGACUUCUACACUGUUACUGUUCUUUUGGUAGUAAUAAUUUAAAAGAUUAAAAUAAGGCUGGGCAAGGUGGCUCACACAUCCCAGCGCUUUGAGAGGCCAAGGUGACAGGAUUGCUUGAGGCCAGGAGUUCAACUUUACAGUGAGCUAUGACUAUGCUACUAUACUCCAGACUGGGCAACAGAGAAAGACCCUGUCUUUAAAAAAUAACAAUAAUAAUAAGUUUUUAAAAGACUAGAAUAAAAUAUUGGCCAGACAUGGUGGCUCAUGCCUAUAAUCCCUGCACUUUGGGAGGCCAAGGUGGCUGGAUCAUCUGAGGUCAGGAGUUUGAGACCAGCCUGGCCAACAUGGUGAAACCCUGUCUCUACUAAAAAUACAAAAAAUUAGCUGGGUGUAGUGGUGGUCUCCUGUAAUCCCAGCUACUUGGGAGGCUGAGGCAGGAGAAUUGCUUGAACCUGGGAGGCAGAAGUUGCAGUGAGCUGAGAUCACACCAUUGCACUCCAGCCUGGGUGACAAGAGUGAAAAUUGGUCUCAAAAAAAUAAAUAAAAUAUUAUAUUCA